rnacentral:hammerhead_ribozyme from 1 species
AUCCAGCUGACGAUCCAAAAUAGGACGAAAUGCACAUCCUGGAU